CCUACGGGCGGCAGCAGUGGGGAAUAUUGGACAAUGGGCGAAAGCCUGAUCCAGCCAUGCCGCGUGUGUGAAGAAGGCCUUCGGGUUGUAAGCACUUUCAGUGGGGAAGAAAGCCUUGGGGCUAAUACCCUCGAGGAAGGACAUCACCCACAGAAGAAGCACCGGCUAACUCCGUGCCAGCAGCCGCGGUAAUACGGAGGGUGCGAGCGUUAAUCGGAAUUACUGGGCGUAAAGCGCGCGUAGGCGGUCUGAUAAGCCGGUUGUGAAAGCCCCGGGCUCAACCUGGGAACGGCAUCCGGAACUGUCAGGCUAGAGUGCAGGAGAGGAAGGUAGAAUUCCCGGUGUAGCGGUGAAAUGCGUAGAGAUCGGGAGGAAUACCAGUGGCGAAGGCGGCCUUCUGGACUGACACUGACGCUGAGGUGCGAAAGCGUGGGUAGCAAACAGGAUUAGAUACCGGGUAGUC
rnacentral:rRNA from 1 species